rnacentral:tRNA from 1 species
GCGCCCAUAGCUCAACUGGCAGAGCAAGUGACUCUUAAUCACUAGGUUUUAGGUUCGAUUCCUAAUGGGCGUA